rnacentral:rRNA from 1 species
UACAGAGGGUGCGAGCGUUGUCCGGAAUCACUGGGCGUAAAGGGCGCGUAGGCGGCUUGAUAAGCGUGCGGUGAAAGCCCGGGGCUCAACCCCGGGUCGGCCGUGCGAACUGUCGAGCUGGAGCACUGUAGAGGCAGGUGGAAUUCCGGGUGUAGCGGUGGAAUGCGUAGAGAUCCGGAAGAACAUCGGUGGCGAAGGCGCUCUACUGGACCACAACUGACACUCAGGGACGAAAGCUAGGGGAGCGAAUGGG